CGCCGCGUUCUUUGGCCUUCCCCUUCUCCCUGUGUCGCUUGCUCUUUCUGACUCAGCGCUCGCCCCCUCCUUCCCCCAUCUUGCGGCGAGCAGUCGCCCCGACUCCUCCACCAAACCCAAAUCGCCACCGCCAGGGACACUGACGCCUGCCUCCCCCACCGAACUGCACCUCCGGGACACUGACGCCCGCCUCGCCGAUCCCCUCACAUCCUCUGCCGCUCCCCUCGCCCCCUUCCGCGUCGUCUGCACCGCCCACGAUCUCCGCCUCGACGACCGGUUCCACAACGCCAUUCCUCACGAUCCCCUCCCGUCCUCCUCGAUUGGCGUCGCCCCCGAUCUCUCCUCGACCGCCUCCACGCAACCACCACCACCAAUCUCCGCCGAGCACUGUUCUCCACCGGAUCCCUCUCCACCGAGCCGCCGUCGGGUCGUCGGCAAUCCCUCGACCUCCUCCGGGCUGCCACCGAGUCGGGAUCCGGGAACGCGGCCGGAUCAGCGUCAACCGCCUGGCCGCUCCUCCACUCCGCCACCACCGAGGGACAUCUCCAUCUACAAAAGCCGUCCUCUCUUCCCAGCUGACCCAGAUGAUCGCCAGCUCUAUCCUGUCGGCUUCGUCUUACUGGAUGUCAUCGACCCUACCACCUACUGCCUCUAAGCCUGUCAGUUCCAUCAAGGUUUUCUUUUUCUCCUCUUCCUAUUCUCUAUUUGUGUGAUGGAAUAGGACGAAGAGGUUCAGUAAAGGGGUCAUUUUCUAUGCCCGCGCUGUCGAGAGCUGUGACGCUUGAAGUGGCGGGGUGAUGCUUGUUGCUUCUUGAACUCUCGCUAUGUGUGCAAAAAGAGGAACAGUCUGUGCUCUUCCUGCAUCAUAGGAGACGGCGCAAGGUGAUUGUGGAGGCAUGGUGGACAAUGGAAGCAUUGAGACGUGCUAGAAGGCGUGAUAUGCAAAAUUGUUGUGUAUCAUGCAUGGAUGUUUCAGGAACAUUGGGUUAAUUGUGUUGAGUAUAUAGUAUUGAGAUACUGAUUAACUAAAAUUGUCUAGGGGUGUUUAUGGUUAUGAUCAUAGUCAUAUUUACUGAUUGAUGGUAAUGUUUUAUUCUCUGAAUUUUUCUAUGGAGUACAUCAAAAUAGAUGGUUUUGGAUUGCACAAUCUGAAUUUAUUUCUCAAUGAACCAAUGCUUUGAAUUGUUAUAAUGUUGUUCAAAAUAGAUGUUUUCUA